UAGGGAAUAUUGGACAAUGGGCGAAAGCCUGAUCCAGCAACGCCGUGUGCGCGAUGACGGCCUUCGGGUUGUAAAGCGCUUUUUGAGGAGAUGAGAAAGGACAGUAUCCUCAGAAUAAGCCUCGGCGAACUACGUGCCAGCAGCCGCGGUAAAACGUAGGAGGCUAGCGUUAUCCGGAUUUAUUGGGCGUAAAGCGCGUGCAGGCGGUUUGAUAAGUUGGAUGUGAAAUCUCCCGGCUUAACUGGGAGCGGUCGUUCAAAACUAUCAGACUAGAGAAUGGGAGAGGAAGGUGGAAUUCCGGGUGUAGUGGUGAAAUGCGUAGAUAUCCGGAGGAACACCAGUGGCGAAAGCGGCCUUCUAGACCAUUCCUGACACUCAGACGCGAAAGCCAGGGUAGCAAACGG
rnacentral:rRNA from 1 species